rnacentral:rRNA from 1 species
ACUCCUACGGGAGGCAGCAGUGGGGAAUAUUGCACAAUGGGCGCAAGCCUGAUGCAGCCAUGCCGCGUGUAUGAAGAAGGCCUUCGGGUUGUAAAGUACUUUCAGCAGUGAGGAAGGUGGAGUCGUUAAUAGCGGCCUCAUUUGACGUUAGCUGCAGAAGAAGCACCGGCUAACUCCGUGCCAGCAGCCGCGGUAAUACGGAGGGUGCGAGCGUUAAUCGGAAUUACUGGGCGUAAAGCGUACGCAGGCGGUUUGUUAAGCGAGAUGUGAAAGCCCCGGCUCAACCUGGGAACUGCAUUUCGAACUGGCAAAUCUAGAGUGUGAUAGAGGUGGUAGAAUUUCAGGUGUAGCAGGUGAAAUGCGUAAGAGAUCUGAAGGAAUACCGAUGGCGAAGGCAGCCACCUGGUCAACACUGACGCUCAUGUACGAAAGCGUGGGGAGCAAACAGGAUUAGAUACCCUGGUAAGCUCU